rnacentral:rRNA from 1 species
AGAGUUUGAUCCUGGCUCAGAACGAACGCUGGCGGCGUGCUUAACACAUGCAAGUCGAACGAGAAAGCUCUUCGGAGUGAGUAGAGUGGCGCACGGGUGAGUAACACGUAGGUAACCUACCCUUUUGUGGGGGAUAACUAGGAGAAAUCCUAGCUAAUACCGCAUAAGUUGGUAACAAGAAAGGAUGCUUCGGCAUUCGCAGAAGGAUGGGCCUGCGGGACAUUAGCUUGAUGGUGGGGUAAUGGCCUACCAUGGCUACGAUGUCUAGCUGGUCUGAGAGGAUGAUCAGCCACACUGGAACUGAGACACGGUCCAGACUCCUACGGGAGGCAGCAGUGGGGAAUAUUGCGCAAUGGGGGAAACCCUGACGCAGCAACGCCGCGUGAGUGAGGAAGGCCUUAGGGUUGUAAAGCUCUGUCAGAUGGGAAGAAAACUUAGUGGUCUAAUAGGCCAUUGAACUGACGGUACCAUCAAAGGAAGCACCGGCUAACUUCGUGCCAGCAGCCGCGGUAAUACGAAGGGUGCAAGCGUUGUUCGGAUUUACUGGGCGUAAAGCGCGCGCAGGCGGAUAGUUAAGUCAGAUGUGAAAUCUCGGGGCUCAACCCCGAAACUGCGUCUGAAACUGAUUAUCUAGAGUAUCGGAGGGGGAAGUGGAAUUUCGCAUGUAGGGGUAAAAUCCGUAGAGAUGCGAAGGAACACCAGAGGCGAAGGCGACUUCCUGGACGAUUGCUGACGCUGAGGCGCGAAAGCGUGGGGAGCAAACAGGAUUAGAUACUCUGGUAGUCCACGCCGUAAACGAUGUGCACUAGAUAUUGGA